UACGUAGGGUGCAAGCGUUAAUCGGAAUUACUGGGCGUAAAGCGUGCGCAGGCGGCUUUGCAAGACAGAUGUGAAAUCCCCGGGCUUAACCUGGGAAUGGCAUUCGGGACUGCAAGGCUGGAGUGCGGCAGAGGAGACUGGAAUUCCUGGUGUAGCAGUGAAAUGCGUAGAUAUCAGGAGGAACACCGAUGGCGAAGGCAGGUCUCUGGGCUGACACUGACGCUCAUGCACGAAAGCGUGGGGAGCAAACAGG
rnacentral:rRNA from 1 species